ACGCCCCCACGAGUUGACCUCGGAUCAGGUAGGGAUACCCGCUGAAC
rnacentral:rRNA from 1 species